rnacentral:lncRNA from 1 species
AAGAUUUCUGCAGGGCUGCAGCAGCCUCUGGAACAGAGGCAUCUUCUAACGAAGUGACCUGGAGAGGAGAGGGGACCUGGGCCUGACUGCAUCCCCAGGGUGCUCUGGCCCCAGGGAAGAAAGCUGUCAUCCCUUGCUGCACUUUGGGGGGGGGGACACGGGACCCUCCCCCUGCCCAGGGGCAAAAGACAGCUGUAUCACAAUGAACGAAGAGGCCCUGAGGAAGAAGUCUGGUGAAUAUUUCUCAGAAUGCGUUCUAAAGUUGGUUAAAAAGCUGGCAACAAGAAUAGAAGAACUGCAAACAAUGCAGCCUGCCUUUGCCAAGACACAAAUAGGAAGAAGCAUUUGAAAGGACCAUGUACGGUAUCAAAUUAUCUGCAAAGAUGAAGAAAGUAAUGACUUACAUUCUCCGUCCUCUGACUGGGUGAUUCAUCAAAGUGGAAGACGAAGCAGUUGGAGAUGAAAGUCACUCCCAAAAGAAGGCAAAAAGGAUGAGCUUGGAAAGAGCCAAUUUAAUUAGACAAGUUCACAUGGGACCAGAGUAUCUGUGACUGGGGGGGGGCACCUAAGUGUUUUGUUCUUCUUUAUGUCCUGCACAGCCUUUGACAAAGUUUAGGCCUGACUCACUACGUUCAUCUGGAUCAUGGGUAGCUUGAGACGCACCCCCUGCACACAGGGUAACCUGUGUACAUACACAGACAAUAGCGGUUGUGUUUUGCACACUGCGUUAGACUGAAGGGGAGAAAUAGGUGUCCCUGAUCUGCCUGGCAUCAAAAGGUUCCUCUUGGUAGUCUCCGGCUAUUUUUGUAAUGGUAUAUCGAAAUAGAACUCACACACCACAC